GAUGAACGCUGGCGGCGUGCCUAAUACAUGCAAGUCGAGCGAACGGACGAGAAGCUUGCUUCUCUGAUGUUAGCGGCGGACGGGUGAGUAACACGUGGAUAACCUACCUAUAAGACUGGGAUAACUUCGGGAAACCGGAGCUAAUACCGGAUAAUAUUUUGAACCGCAUGGUUCAAAAGUGAAAGACGGUCUUGCUGUCACUUAUAGAUGGAUCCGCGCUGCAUUAGCUAGUUGGUAAGGUAACGGCUUACCAAGGCAACGAUGCAUAGCCGACCUGAGAGGGUGAUCGGCCACACUGGAACUGAGACACGGUCCAGACUCCUACGGGAGGCAGCAGUGGGGAAUCUUCCGCAAUGGGCGCAAGCCUGACGGAGCCACGCCGCGUGAGUGAUGAAGGUCUUCGGAUCGUAAAACUCUGUUAUUAGGGAAGAACAUAUGUGUAAGUAACUGUGCACAUCUUGACGGUACCUAAUCAGAAAGCCACGGCUAACUACGUG
rnacentral:rRNA from 1 species